rnacentral:siRNA from 1 species
UCAGCAUCAUCAGUACUUA